GUGGGGAAUAUUGGACAAUGGGCGCAAGCCUGAUCCAGCCAUGCCGCGUGAGUGAUGAAGGCCCUAGGGUUGUAAAGCUCUUUCACCGAUGAAGAUAAUGACGGUAGUCGGAGAAGAAGCCCCGGCUAACUUCGUGCCAGCAGCCGCGGUAAUACGAAGGGGGCUAGCGUUGUUCGGAAUUACUGGGCGUAAAGCGCACGUAGGCGGAUAUUUAAGUCAGGGGUGAAAUCCCAGAGCUCAACUCUGGAACUGCCUUUGAUACUGGGUAUCUCGAGUAUGGAAGAGGUGAGUGGAAUUCCGAGUGUAGAGGUGAAAUUCGUAGAUAUUCGGAGGAACACCAGUGGCGAAGGCGGCUCACUGGUCCAUUACUGACGCUGAGGUGCGAAAGCGUGGUGAGCAAACAGGAUUAGAAACCCGAGUAGUCC
rnacentral:rRNA from 1 species